rnacentral:rRNA from 1 species
UACGGAGGGGGCUAGCGUUGUUCGGAAUUACUGGGCGUAAAGCGCACGUAGGCGGCUUUGUAAGUUAGAGGUGAAAGCCCGGGGCUCAACCCCGGAAUUGCCUUUAAGACUGCAUCGCUCGAACGUCGGAGAGGUGAGUGGAAUUCCGAGUGUAGAGGUGAAAUUCGUAGAUAUUCGGAAGAACACCAGUGGCGAAGGCGGCUCACUGGACGACUGUUGACGCUGAGGUGCGAAAGCGUGGGGAGCAAACAGG